CGCAUAGUUUCUUGAAGGUUUUCUGCUUGUAGCAGAUGUCAGAAUCUCCUUUCUUUGGGGCUGAAUACUGUCCCUUCCUGGGGACAGUCACCUGUGUGCACACCGAGGUCUGCCGCCCAGUGUGAACUGUGCUGCCACGGGGCCCGCCCGCUUCUCACACCUCUCGGUUCCUAUCUUUGGCUGACUACACACACAUGGAGCCGUUUACGUAGCUUGGGGUUUUUUGUUUUGUUUUUCGUCGUAGUGCUGAGGGUGAAGCCCAGGUCCUCACACGUGCUAGGCAAGUUCUGUACCACUGAGCUGCCUCCCAAGCUGAGCAGUUGGUAUUUUGCAGAACUCUCGAGUGGAGGGCAUAGAGACCUCCUCUUGACCAACACUCUUCGGUUUACAGCUCGGGAAACUGAGGCCCAGAGAUGACCCCACCAUAUCCCCUGAGCACUUCACAGCAUUGCUAGAUUACUUAGAACAGGAGGGGAAGGGGAAGUGGAAAGAAUCAAGACGCAGUCCGACAUGCACCAGCUCCCUGAGAGGAAUGUCACCAUUAUGUGCUGUGGACGUGGACUAAUGCACAUGAAGAUUUUAAAAUAAAAUAAAAUGUAAUUCUGAGAUUGGAAAAAAAGAGAACAUAGACACUCAGGACCAGAAGAAAGGAUGCAAAGUUGGAUGUGAAACCCUAGGCCAUGCUUCUGACUCUGCUCAAAUCUGUAUUCUUAAGAAGAUGGGUUGAUUUUUUCCCUUACUAAGAGGCAGAGAGUCUCACUAUGUAGCCCAGGCUGGCCUUGAACUCACUAGGACCCUCCUGCCUCAGCCUCCGGAGAGUGUGUCAUGAUGCCUGGCUUGUUUUUGUUUCUGUUUUGCACAAAGAAGCGGCGCAGCAGCUGCUCCUGUGGCUGGUCUGCAAAUCCUCCAUGACUGUUUCUUUAAAUUGCAGCCCUGGGAGUGGAGUGAAGGGACAAAGGGCAACGGGAAAGCUUUUCUUGGGGACUGAGCUGGGCCUUAGGGCUGAGAGCGUUCAGGGGAGGGAAGAGGGCAUUCAGGUGGCGGGAACACCAUGGGCAAGAGUGCCCGGGUAGGAAGAGGUGAGAAUUCCCUAAAGCUGUUGGGGGAAUAACCGGAAACGCCCCACUGUUGGUCUCAAACCCCAGGGUAGCAGAGCUGGGCAGAGCCUGGUGUUCUUCUGGGCCCUCUCCCCUCCUGCUGCCUCCACCUCACCCGCCCUGGGCGCCCUUCACUCUGGGGUCCGAACCCAUCUGCUCCCCAGGCCACACCACGCCCGCCUCGGACCCUACCCCAGGCUCCGCCCACCCCCUCCCUCCCGCCUGGUCCCCGGGCCGACGUCAGCAGGUCCUUCAGCGUCAAGACAGACGGCCGGUCACCCUCGCCCCUUCCUUGGGGUGGACCUCAGCCCAUCGCACCAAGAAGGAGCCCCAUGAGCACUGACAGCAAAGCCUUGGAGUACAGACGGCAUCUUCGUGAAGGCUGGGCCCCAGUGUCCGGGCCCCACGUCCCUGGCUCCUGGACUGCCCAGAGCCCGGUGCCUGGUGCUGCCUCCUCUUCUCGUCUGUCUAUACCGUCUUCCGGGCAUGGAUCCGGACAGGCCAGGCCAAGGGAAACACACACACAUUCUCAUCCUGUCUGGUGACUUCCAAGAGGGUGGCUGGGCACCUCCCGGCCUGUCCCUCAGGGCCCUGCUCUCAGGAGGGCAGGGUCGGGUGCUCUGCUGGGACCCGGCCUGCUCCUGCGUCCAGGGGGACUGCAGAGCCCAGCGCCACCGCCAGCGGGACACUGUGUCUGGGAAUUAAUUCAGACGUCACAUUCCACUCCUUGGCGCGGCCAGCUGUUUCAAUAUAAAGAUAUUUAA
rnacentral:lncRNA from 1 species